rnacentral:lncRNA from 1 species
UCCUGCCCUCGGAGGAGAAAUUAGGAGGAGCUGGGUGCGCUCCUUUGGUAUCCCAAAUAUUUGACACCUCAUUGGCCUAAAUGCCAUUCGAUACAUUGGUGUAGGCAUUUUCCUCAUUUUAAAGAGUAAAUCUUUCUGCCGCCAAGAACUACCUGCCGGGAAGAAGGCGGUCUUCGAGGUCUUUCACAAUCAACAUCAACCCAGACCUGGAAGUAUUUCUGUUUUCAUAUUUCUGCGAGAUAAUAACAUGCCCGGUGUAAAGGAGGGUGAGUUCCCACCGCCUCCACCCCCGCUGCCGCCCCUCGGGGUUGUGGCUCCAGAGCCCUCCUGCCGCUGAUUCCCAACUAUUUGCUGUGCUCCGCUCCGUGACUGUGAGUCCGCUCCCUCUCUCGCAGAUAUUGACCGAGUGUGAGCCACGUGCCAGGCACAGCUCUAGAGUUCUCCUCCGCGAGCGUGAGGCACACACCCGCCGUCACUCCUCACCA